rnacentral:rRNA from 1 species
UACGUAGGGUGCGAGCGUUGUCCGGAAUUAUUGGGCGUAAAGAGCUUGUAGGCGGUUUGUCGCGUCUGCUGUGAAAACCUAAGGCUCAACCUUGGGCUUGCAGUGGGUACGGGGCAGACUAGAGUGCGGUAGGGGGUGACUGGAAUUCCUGGUGUAGCGGUGGAAUGCGCAGAUAUCAGGAGGAACACCGAUGGCGAAGGCAGGUCACUGGGGCCGC